ACUUUUAUAGCUUAAUGGUAAAGCUGUAAUAUUAUAAAUGAUAGAUGUUCGAAUCAUCUUAAAGGUU
rfam:Metarhizium album ARSEF 1941 scaffold_20, whole genome shotgun sequence.